rnacentral:rRNA from 1 species
UACGGGGGGGGCAAGCGUUGUUCGGAAUUACUGGGCGUAAAGGGCUCGUAGGCGGCCAACUAAGUCGGAUGUGAAAUCCCCAGGCUUAACCUGGGACUGCAUCCGAUACUGGAUGGCUUGAAUCCGGGAGAGGGAUGCAGAAUUCCAGGUGUAGCGGUGAAAUGCGUAGAUAUCUGGAGGAAUACCGGUGGCGAAGGCGGCAUCCUGGACCGGCAUUGACGCUGAUGAGCGAAAGCUAGGGGAGCAAACGGGGAUUAGAA